UAGCAUGAGUCCAUCAUAAUGCCUCUUAAGAUACAUGUUAAGCUGUAUCUUGAGAUGAUCUACAUUUUCCAAUGACAGCAUUUUCAUGAGAUCAAGCAGCGUACUACUAUACAUCUAUCUACUCUCAUUAUAGAAUGAUCAUGGGUCGUUAUGAUCUCUCCAGCACAUGAGCAUCACAAUACAUCGGCGAAGUAUGUAGAAUCUGGACCUCUGCUCCCUCGCCAAAAGCCGGCACCUCUGGCUAAACGAGCAGCACGACGAGCUCUUCUCUCUCUUGGCCAUUGCAUGCACCUCUCUCUUUCUCCUCUCUUCACUCCCUAAAGUUUGCCACUUAAACUAAGGAGGAGGGAGAGUGGGAAGACACAAUAAGAGAGAGAGAGAUGUGGUGGUCUUUUGUAAC
rnacentral:lncRNA from 1 species